CAGGGGGAGACAGAGGCCGCUGGGACCAGCAGCCCUCGGGCUUCCGCGUCGCGUGGAGGUUGGCCGAGAGGAGUUUCGGUUCCUCGGCAGCUCGUGGGUCUCCAGGGCCGCCUGCGCUCGCGGUGACGUCAUCGGCACGGGCGGUCUGGUCUUGACCCGGAAGAUCCACAGACCUGCAGCUUUUCUGUUUCUGAUCAUUUGGCAACAGAUUUUGAUAAUUUGAUCAAUUCAGCAGAGUCCUGCAGCGACACAGGGGUCACACUAAAAGCUCUCUCUUCUACUGAGCAAACUGCAGUCUGUCUGGACUCUACGGUCAGUCUGUCCUGUCUCUCUCCCAGUCUGAUCAGUGAGAAUCCCUCCUGUCUCUCUCCCAGUCUGAUCCGUCAGGAAUCUUCACAGACAGGUCUUCCUCUCCCAGAGUACAGUAACUUGUAAGUCCUCCAGUUUACAUCACAAACUAGAUUAAAUGUCCAGGUGGGUGCAGCUCCAUAUUGCUGUUACUGUCUGCAGUUCAGAACGAGGCAACAAAUCGUCCUGGGAUGUGUUGAGGCCCUGUGACACUGUGAACAGGCAGGCUUGUGAGAACCUCUCUUUCAGUCCAAUAGAAAUACUGCUCUCGACUUCGGGACGGUUGUGCAGAUAAACACUUCUUACUUGUGAACUCUGCUUGCAGAGCACGUUGGAACGUUUCUGCAGUGAAACGUCUGAAGCACAGCCUGGCCUUAUUCGCUCGUAAUUCACGGUACAGUGACUUAAGGAGCAGGAAAGGCCGUGUCAUGUCACAGUUUGUGCAACAUGACGACCGUCAACCACUCUCACAAAGUUCACGGUUUCGAGCUCAUUUCGAAAUUUGUCCAGUUCGUCUGUCCUGUCAAUGAGCUGGGACUGCAGUUCCCCUUCGCAGCGCCUCACUCCAAACGCCUCGACCGCAGGCCUGCUGACGCCACCAGCUGGCUGCUUCUGGAACUGGCCAGCGGCAGAGCUGGUCGUUUGAACCAUUACGGCUGGUGGGGAGACGAUCCAUCCCAGGUUUUACUAAAACCUCCAGCGCUCUUAUGCAAGAGAUAAACUGGUUACUGGCCCGUUCAGCAUGGCUGCAUUGUUUUGAAUGAUUUUCCAUUGUGAGAUACAGACUUAAAACACAUCUACACCAUGUCAU